GACCUGUUAGCUCAGUCGGGAGAGCGCCAUCUUGACAGGGUGGAGGUCGCUGGUUCGACCCCAGCACAGGUCA
rnacentral:tRNA from 1 species